rnacentral:rRNA from 1 species
UACGGAGGGUGCAAGCGUUAUCCGGAUUCACUGGGUUUAAAGGGUGCGUAGGUGGGCAGUUAAGUCAGUGGUGAAAUCUCCGGGCUCAACCCGGAAACUGCCAUUGAUACUAUCUGUCUUGAAUAUUGUGGAGGUGAGCGGAAUAUGUCAUGUAGCGGUGAAAUGCUUAGAUAUGACAUAGAACACCAAUUGCGAAGGCAGCUCGCUACACAUAUAUUGACUCUGAGGCACGAAAGCGUGGGGAUCAAACAGG